rnacentral:rRNA from 1 species
GACGAACGCUGGCGGCGUGCUUAACACAUGCAAGUCGAACGGAAAGGCCCUGCUUUUGUGGGGUUCUCGAGUGGCGAACGGGUGAGUAACGCGUGAGUAACCUGCCCUUGACUUUGGGAUAACUUCAGGAAACUGGGGCUAAUACCGGAUAGGAGCGCCUGCUGCAUGGGGGGGGUUGGAAAGUUUCGGCGGUUGGGGAUGGACUCGCGGCUUAUCAGCUUGUUGGGGGGGGAGUGGCUUACCAAGGCUUUGACGGGUAGCCGGCCUGAGAGGGUGACCGGCCACAUGGGGACUGAGAUACGCACCAGACUCCUACGGGAGGCAGUAGUCGGGAAUAUUGCACAAUGGGCGGAAGCCUGAUGCAGAAACGCCGGGUGCGGGAUGCCGGCCUUCGGGUUGUAAACCGCUUUAGCCUGUGACGAAGCGUGAGUGACGGUAAUGGGUAAAGAAGCACCGGCUAACUACGUG